GUGGCUUUGGCCCAGUCCACCUAAUGCAAAAAGAGGAAACAUGCCAGCAGUUUAGGGAGUGGUGUCAAGCUGGCCAUUCCCAGUUGUGUCAAACUC